CUACGGGGGGCUCCAGUGAGGAAUAUUGCACAAUGGGGGGAACCCUGAUGCAGCAACGCCGCGUGGAGGAUGACGCAUUUCGGUGUGUAAACUCCUUUUAUAUGUCAAGAAAAUGACGGUAGCAUAUGAAUAAGCACCGGCUAACAUCCGUGCCAGCAGCCGCGGUAAUACGGAGGGUGCAAGCGUUACUCGGAAUCACUGGGCGGAAAGGACGCGUAGGCGGGUUGGAAAGUCAGGUGUGAAAUCCUACGGCUUAACUGUAGAACUGCACUUGAAACUUCUAAUCUAGAGUAUGGGAGGGGGGGAUAGAAUUAGUGGUGUAGGGGUAAAAUCCGUAGAUAUCACUAGGAAUACCUAAAGCGAAGGCGAUCUCCUGGAACAUUACUGACGCUAAGGCGUGAAAGCGUGGGGAGCAAACAGGAUUAGAUACCCGGGUAGUC
rnacentral:rRNA from 1 species